AGGGUUCGAUUCUGGCUCAGGACGAACGCUGGCGGCGUGCCUAACACAUGCAAGUCGAACGGGGCUAGGAAAGCUUGCUUUCCGAAGCCUAGUGGCGGACGGGUGAGUAACGCGUGAGUAACCUGCCUUUCAGAGGGGAAUAACGUUCUGAAAAGAACGCUAAUACCGCAUAACGUACAGUUACCGCAUGGUAGCAGUACCAAAGGAGCAAUCCGCUGAAAGAUGGACUCGCGUCCGAUUAGCUAGUUGGUGGGGUAAAGGCCUACCAAGGCGACGAUCGGUAGCCGGACUGAGAGGUUGAACGGCCACAUUGGGACUGAGACACGGCCCAG
rnacentral:rRNA from 1 species